rnacentral:rRNA from 1 species
CGGUAUAGUAAGUUCCUGGUAAAAUCGGGUAACUUAACUAUCCGUGUGCUAGGAAUACUGCUAUACUAGAGGGCGGGAGAAGUCUGAGGUACUGCAGGGGUAGGGGUGAAAUCCUAUAAUCCUUGCAGGACCACCGGUGGCGAAAGCGUCAGACUGGAACGCGCCUGACGGUGAGGGACGAAAGCCAGGGGAGCGAACCGGAUUAGAUACCCGGGUAGUCCUGGCCGUAAACGAUGCAUACUAGGUGACGGCACGGCCAUGAGCCGUGUCGGUGCCGUAGGGAAACCGUUAAGUGUGCCGCCUGGGAA